CGCUCGCCCCGGGAGGGAGCCCGCGGCCAGGGCUGGACUCUCGCCCCGCCACCUCCACCGACUCUCUCCUCAGCCUCCGCGCCUGGCACCGCAGCAAGACUUGAAUGAAGUGAUCAUGUAAACUAGAGAAAGGAGAUUAAAAAUAACCUCUGGAUAUUCCUCUCAUGUGAUCUUUAUUCUGGAUGAAGCAUUAGGACAGCUAAUAGCCGUGUGUCACUCUGAGCUUGCUCGAAUACUCCGUUCUGCACAUCUCUCCUUGUAAUGUGAGUAUUUUCUACAGUGAGAACCAAAAAAGAAAUGCUUCUUAAAGGAUCUUUUUCGUGGAGUCUGAUCUGACAUGCCCUUUUAAUGUUCCCUGUGCCUUUUCACAUACAGCAUCCACAAACAAACUCUCCUAUGUGUUGACUCAUACUCCCAGCAAGUAUGUUUCAUAAAAACAUGUAGAGCAAGAGAAACCCCUGUGUAAAUCUAGCAUCUUCCAAGAACGUGUAGGCAGAAAAAUUCAUCUUUCCAUUGUUGUUGUUUAUUUUAUUAUUAUUUUUUAUACGGGAUCUUGCUUUGUUGCCCAAGCUGGAGUGCAGUG
rnacentral:lncRNA from 1 species